CCACCGUGCUGGGGGCUGGACGCAGGGUCAGCACAGAUAUCUGUGGCAACUCAACCAAGGGGAAGACAAGUCCAAGCUGAGCUUGAAACAGCUGCUCGUGUCAACCCCUACUAUGAGGAAGCAGAGACGAACCCUAUUGCUGCUGAGCACAGGCCUGGUUGCUGACCAGGGAAUGCUGCCAUCUACAGUGGGCAGGUCCUCUAAUCUCAGUGAACGAAGUCAAGACAACCCUCCCUCCCCAGGAGUGGCCAAAGGCUCAUCUCCCAGGCAAGUAC
rnacentral:lncRNA from 1 species